UGGGGAAUCUUGCGCAAUGGGCGAAAGCCUGACGCAGCCAUGCCGCGUGGAUGAUGAAGGUCUUAGGAUUGUAAAAUCCUUUCACCGGUGAAGAUAAUGACUGUAGCCGGAGAAGAAGCCCCGGCUAACUUCGUGCCAGCAGCCGCGGUAAUACGAAGGGGGCUAGCGUUGCUCGGAAUUACUGGGCGUAAAGGGAGCGUAGGCGGACAUUUAAGUCAGGGGUGAAAUCCCGAGGCUCAACCUCGGAACUGCCUUUGAUACUGGGUGUCUUGAGUGUGAGAGAGGUAUGUGGAACUCCGAGUGUAGAGGUGAAAUUCGUAGAUAUUCGGAAGAACACCAGUGGCGAAGGCGACAUACUGGCUCAUUACUGACGCUGAGGCUCGAAAGCGUGGGGAGCAAACAGGAUUAGAUACCCUGGUAGUCCACGCCGUAAACGAUGAUUGCUAGUUGUCGGGAAGCUUGCUUUUCGGUGACGCAGCUAACGCAUUAAGCAAUCC
rnacentral:rRNA from 1 species